GAGGUGUGUUCGACUAUCAGGCUGUAUCGUUUCACAAACAACUUCACGGCUACAAAACAGGCAUUAAUCUCAAGCUUAUAAGAGGAGGGUGGCAACGAUGGUCCAAAGAUGACGUGGCUGGUAUCAGCUCUCUCCCAGCCAAGGUGAUCGUUGGUGAUAGUGAAAAGAAGAAAUAACCAGCUUCAGAAACAACUUCGGGUGGUGUCAUCAAUAAAAAACCUCAGGCCUCAGCAUCUACCAAGUAGCCAAGCGCCACCUUGGUUCAAAGUUUGCAGUAUCUGGCCGCAUUAGUUGCUUUUAUAAUAAUGCUUACGCAUAAAUGUGGUUUUUUCGUUUAAACUAUCCAGCUAUGUUUUUCAGACAGUUUAUCUUCAUUAGUGAUUAACUCUGUUUUGGUA